UACGGGGGGAGCAAGCGUUGUUCGGAUUUACUGGGCGUAAAGCGCGCGCAGGCGGUCCUUUAAGUCUGAUGUGAAAGCCCACGGCUCAACCGUGGAGGGUCAUUGGAAACUGGGGGACUUGAGUGCAGGAGAGAAGAGUGGAAUUCCACGUGUAGCGGUGAAAUGCGUAGAGAUGUGGAGGAACACCAGUGGCGAAGGCGACUCUUUGGCCUGUAACUGACGCUGAGGCGCGAAAGCGUGGGGAGCAAACAGG
rnacentral:rRNA from 1 species